GAACGGCAGCACGGGGGCAACCCUGGUGGCGAGUGGCGAACGGGUGAGUAAUACAUCGGAACGUGUCCUGGAGUGGGGGAUAGCCCGGCGAAAGCCGGAUUAAUACCGCAUACGCUCUGUGGAGGAAAGCGGGGGAUCUUCGGACCUCGCGCUCAAGGGGCGGCCGAUGGCAGAUUAGCUAGUUGGUGGGGUAAAGGCCUACCAAGGCGACGAUCUGUAGCUGGUCUGAGAGGACGACCAGCCACACUGGGACUGAGACACGGCCCAGACUCCUACGGGAGGCAGCAGUGGGGAAUUUUGGACAAUGGGGGCAACCCUGAUCCAGCAAUGCCGCGUGUGUGAAGAAGGCCUUCGGGUUGUAAAGCACUUUUGUCCGGAAAGAAAACCUCCGGGUUAAUACCUGGGGGGAUGACGGUACCGGAAGAAUAAGCACCGGCUAACUACGUG
rnacentral:rRNA from 1 species